UUCAACCAUCAUUUAUUUAAAAAUUCAAAUGUACAAACAAUUGUCGAUUUGUUUAAUGCUGAACCUAUAUAAUGAAGUCAAUAUCAUAAAAUACAAUCUAUUUACUGAGCUGUUAUUCUCAUUGCAGGAUGUGCUAGCAGAUGAUUCAAAAUCAAUGCGAAAGUACAUUUAUCAUAAUUCGGGGUUUAGACAACUACGAAGGACCAUGCAGAUUACAAGAUUUGGGUCAUUUCAAGAAGAUUUGAUUCAAGAUCUUGUUUUGGAAUUGUCUCGUACAGUAAAAGUAUCACAUGAGGACAUUCUGAAUAUUUUCUUGCCAGAGGUUCUUUUGAGGGUCAUUCAGAAGCAAGAGGGAUUGAACAGGCUUUUACCUGAAUUCAUCUUAAUGGGAAAGUACCAGCAAUCACUUCAACAACAGAAUUUAGAUAUUGUAUUGUAAUUUGAUCUGUUCUGCUUAUUUAUUUUAUGAGGAUCACAAACAGUCCUAGAUGCUCUCCUCAACACAAAAGCAAUACAGUUUGUAUAAGACGUAAUUACAUCACAUGCUCUUUCACUCGCCCAUACACUCAAUAACAUAAAGAAAAGAAGAGGAAAGGAUAUGAAAAGUGAGGGGGUUUCAGAGGAUGAGAUUAGAACCUGAUGAUUGAUUUUCCCUUUCCCAUGACCAUCAAUGUAUAAAGGAUUUGAAGCUAAAUAGAAAAGCUUUGUUAGUGUAUUGACUUUUGAACUGUGGACAUGCCAGUAAAGUGCCCAUGUAGCAAAGUGUGUAAAUAGAAAAGCUUUGUUAGUGUAUUGACUUUUGAACUGUGGACAUGCCAGUAAAGUGCCCAUGUAGCAAAGUGUGUAAAUAGUAAAGCUUUGCUAGUGUAUUGACUUUUGAACUGUGGACAUGCCAGUAAAGUGCCCAUGUAGCAAAGUGUGUAAAUAGAAAAGCUUUGUUAGUGUAUUGACUUUUGAACUGUGGACAUGCCAGUAAAGUGCCCAUGUAGCAAAGUGUGUAAAUAGAAAAGCUUUGUUAGUGUAUUGACUUUUGAACUGUGGACAUGCCAGUAAAGUGCCCAUGUAGCAAAGUGUGUAAAUAGAAAAGCUUUGUUAGUGUAUUGACUUUUGAACUGUGGACAUGCCAGUAAAGUGCCCAUGUAGCAAAGUGUGUAAAUAGAAAAGCUUUGCUAGUGUAUUGACUUUUGAACUGUGGACAUGCCAGUAAAGUGCCCAUGUAGCAAAGUGUGUAAAUAGUAAAGCUUUGCUAGUGUAUUGACUUUUGAACUGUGGACAUGCCAGUAAAGUGCCCAUGUAGCAAAGUGUGUAAAUAGAAAAGCUUUGUUAGUGUAUUGACUUUUGAACUGUGGACAUGCCAGUAAAGUGCCCAUGUAGCAAAGUGUGUAAGUAGAAAAGCUUUGCUAGUGUAUUGACAUUUGAACUGUGGACAUGCCAGUAAAGUGCCCAUGUAGCAAAGUGUGUAAAUAGAAAAGCUUUGUUAGUGUAUUGACUUUUGAACUGUGGACAUGCCAGUAAAGUGCCCAUGUAGCAAAGUGUGUAAAUAGAAAAGCUUUGUUAGUGUAUUGACUUUUGAACUGUGGACAUGCCAGUAAAGUGCCCAUGUAGCAAAGUGUGUAAAUAGUAAAGCUUUGCUAGUGUAUUGACUUUUGAACUGUGGACAUGCCAGUAAAGUGCCCAUGUAGCAAAGUGUGUAAAUAGAAAAGCUUUGUUAGUGUAUUGACUUUUGAACUGUGGACAUGCCAGUAAAGUGCCCAUGUAGCAAAGUGUGUAAAUAGAAAAGCUUUGUUAGUGUAUUGACUUUUGAACUGUGGACAUGCCAGUAAAGUGCCCAUGUAGCAAAGUGUGUAAAUAGAAAUGUAGUCAAUCUUUAAUCCAAGUUAUAUCAAAAGGUAUACAGUAUACUACUAAAUACUAUCCAUAGAUUGUACACAUACCAUUUAAUACUUUUUCAAAACA